AGGAUGAACGCUGGCGGCGUGCCUAAAACAUGCAAGUCAUACGGGCUACCUUCGGGUAGCCAGUGGCAAACGGGUGAGUAACACGUGGGAACGCGCCUUGGGGUGGGGAAUAACGCUGAGAAAUCAGUGCUAAUACCGCAUAUGGUCUAACGACUAAAGCAGCAAUGCGCCCCGAGAGCGGCCCGCGACCGAUUAGCUAGUUGGUGGGGUAAUGGCCUACCAAGGCGGUGAUCGGUAGCUGGUCUGAGAGGAUGGUCAGCCACACUGGGACUGCGAACGGCCCAGACUCCUACGGGAGGCAGCAGUUAGGAAUUUUCGGCAAUGGACGAAAGUCUGACCGAGCGACGCCGCGUGGAGGAUGACGCCUUUCGGGGUGUAAACUCCUUUUCUGCGGGAAGAUAAUGACGGUACCGCAGGAAUAAGCACCGACUAACUACGUGCCAGCAGCCGC
rnacentral:rRNA from 1 species